rfam:Trichobilharzia regenti genome assembly, scaffold: TRE_scaffold0019311
AUCCAGAUGACGAGUCCCAAAUAGGACGAAAUGCAGAUCCUGGAC